GCUCAACCGACUGAGCCACCCAGGCGCCCCCUUUGAUUUUCUUAAUUGGGGGCAAGUGGGGGGAAAAAACCCGAGGGGGCAUACUACAAAACAACUGGCCUGUACUCUUCAAAAAUGUCAAGGUCUUGAAAACCAAAGCAAGGUCGAAGACAACUGCAGACUGAAGAAAGCUGAAGGGACCAGGCGACCACAGGUUUCAUGAUUGUCAACAACAAACCAAAAAAACCCGCCUGUAACCAGGCGCUCCUCCUUCAGACCACUGUGCAGCCUGGUCCAGCGUUGUAUUUGCUGCCCCGUGCGUGACCCAGCAGUACUAAGUCCGUUUAUAGUAAGAAGGACAACCCGGCUUUUCUAUUCAUACAGCGGAAUGCGGCACAGCAGCGAACGGAUGGAAACACACUAUGGCUCCAGCAACCACGCGGACACAGACGAACCCAGCAGCCGGGUCCACUUAAAGAAUAAACACACAACAACACAAACCCA